UCAAGGACUGUGGCCUGUCCUGCCAGUGUCUGGGCCUUUGGCACUUGGCGGGCGGGUUGCUCAUCUCUACCAUAGAGGAGUCCAUCAGGCCAACGGGACCUAUGCAGGUUGCUGCCGGGUACUUCUCUGAUGAGCCAGAAGGAGAGCCAUCGCAGCCCAUGAUAAGCACAGACAUGGUGGCCAUGCACAGCUGUGGCUGCAAGCACAGCUCUGGGGGCACUACCAUCUGCCUGCAGCACAUAAUCUCCUCUCUGCUUGGGACACAUCAACCCUGGACAUCAGUAGCUAAGCAAGAAACAGCUGUCUUGCCUCUGGUUGUUGGCCUGCUAAAACAACUGCCCCCAGUCCCUGCUUCAGGGAAUUCAGCUCCUCCCUGCACUUGGCGCCUUAGCCCUGGGCGACCUCCCUGCAUGCGCCCUAAGUGGGUCCCUCCACUCCAGUCCAAGCAGCUCCUAUGGAGGCCCCGCCCCACGACUUCCUCUGACACCAGCUCCUGCCCACUGCUAGUCCCCUCAGGUCCCUGGCUCUCCGGGUUCUUUGCUGAGAGCGCGCCAGAGCCCAGGUCUCCCUCAGGACCCUGGGAGAAGGCCAGGAGGCCCAGAGGGCAGCCCAAGCCGCUUGGAACUCGCUCCUUGAAACACAGAUCCUCCCCCACAGCGAGGCCUCCUGGGAAGGAGGCUUGAGUGGCGCAGGGCGUCUUGAAACUGGUUCCGCACGGUGGCGGUAGAGCUCCAGCUAUGGCCAGCAGCCCUGGGCCUGAGCGCGCCUCUCCCGCCCUGGCUGUCUGAAAAAACGCCACCCAGACAAAGGCACCAGGCAACAUGGCCGCCCUGUCCUUUGCCCAGUUCUGAGGAAGCAGCUCCCGAUGCUGCUUUUGCUUUUUCAGUAUUUGUGGCGUUUGGUUCACGAUGUUUGCCUCUGUCGUGAUUCUGCCCGAGACAGGCUUUGCCGUGUUGCCCAGGACCAGCUGGAAAUCGUGGUGCCAGUGCAGCAGCUUCCAGCUCCUCUCUCCUGUUGUUUUCCAUCUGAACUCUGACCAAGGCCUGAGUGCCAUCCUCCCCUGGGCCUCCCCUCUCUCUGGUGGAACGUUCAGGGAGGCCCUGCUCAUUCAGUCUGUUCUGAGUUGAACUGCACCCAGUCUUCCUCCCUCUGUAGUUUGUGAGUGCUCAGACCAGGUGAGAGAAAUGACACGGUUCGGUUUGUUUUUUACUCUUUUUAGGACACAAGAAGUUGGGAAUCCAACGUGUCAAUAUGUAUGUCUUCCAGAGAGCCAAUGUGCACAUGGUGAUGUGUCUUAGUCUAGGUUCUGUUGCCAUAACAAAAAUACCUGAAGCUGAGUAUUUUGUAAGAAAUGGACAUUUCCUGUCCUCAUGGUUGUGGAGAUGGGAAAUCUAAGAAUAGGACCUCAGUGUCUGCUGAGCCGUUGGUGGGGGUCUUCUUGCUUAAUCAUAAUGUGGAAGAGGCCAGCACAGAGAGACAGAGGAAGCUUCUUGGAGACACCUGGCUUUUAUAGCAGAGUCACUCCCCACAAAACCUAUGAAUCCAUGAGUGGACUGAUCAGUGCCUGUGCAUGAGGGCAGAGUUCUCAUGAGCCAGUGACCUCCCAGAAAUACUUCAGUUCCCGUUCACACAUAAUUUUGGGAUUAACUUUCCGACAAUGGGUUUCCAGGGCACAACCAUUGAAACCAUACUAUGAAGUGACUUUUAAAGUUGAAUGAAAAUCGCUAGCAUCAUCUACUUUUCUAAAGUGGCCUUAAAAAACGAGUCUGUCACAAGGAGAGAGAGAGGAAGCUUCUUCGAGACACCUGACUGGUGUCCUCCAGCCUGGAUGUUGGUUUAUUUUCAAGUUUCCCCUUUAGAUUUCAGGCAGAGAAUGUUGAGGUAGGGGACUUGGUGUUGUGGUAUUCAUGUAUUUUAUGUCCUCUAGGCUGUGGUGAAUGCAGACAUGGGAAGAAGUGGUCACGUGGAAAGUGAGUUCAAAAAGAGAGAGAGAACAUGAAAAUGGGGACAUCUUCUAUCAUUGGAAGCAGAAGGCACGAGGGAAAAGAUAGUCGUCCACCUCCCCUUGAGGGCUCACAUCCAGCAGUCGAUGGGGCGCCCCAGGAUCCACAAGCAGCUUAUAGUAGGUGGCGGCAGCAACAACACAGGAAACAGACGCCCUGGCUCAGGUUCCUGUUCUCCCAAAAGAGCUGCCCCUGGCCAUGGCUUCUGGGAAUUCAGCGCCUCCUCGCGCUGGGCACCUAGGCCCAGGGAGACCUCCCUGGAUUGCCCCUUAGUGGGUCCCUCCGCUCCAGUCCAAGCAGCUCCUAUGGAGGCCCCGCCCCACGACUUCCUCUGACACCAGCUCCUGCCCACUGCUAGUCCCCUCAGGUCCCUGGCUCUCCGGGUUCUUUGCUGAGAGCGCGCCAGAGCCCAGGUCUCCCUCAGGACCCUGGGAGAAGGCCAGGAGGCCCAGAGGGCAGCCCAAGCCGCUUGGAACUCGCUCCUUGAAACACAGAUCCUCCCCCACAGCGAGGCCUCCUGGGAAGGAGGCUUGAGUGGCGCAGGGCGUCUUGAAACUGGUUCCGCACGGUGGCGGUAGAGCUCCAGCUAUGGCCAGCAGCCCUGGGCCUGAGCGCGCCUCUCCCGCCCUGGCUGUCUGAAAAAACGCCACCCAGACAAAGGCACCAGGCAACAUGGCCGCCCUGUCCUUUGCCCAGUUCUGAGGAAGCAGCUCCCGAUGCUGCUUUUGCUUUUUCAGUAUUUGUGGCGUUUGGUUCACGAUGUUUGCCUCUGUCGUGAUUCUGCCCGAGACAGGCUUUGCCGUGUUGCCCAGGACCAGCUGGAAAUCGUGGUGCCAGUGCAGCAGCUUCCAGCUCCUCUCUCCUGUUGUUUUCCAUCUGAACUCUGACCAAGGCCUGAGUGCCAUCCUCCCCUGGGCCUCCCCUCUCUCUGGUGGAACGUUCAGGGAGGCCCUGCUCAUUCAGUCUGUUCUGAGUUGAACUGCACCCAGUCUUCCUCCCUCUGUAGUUUGUGAGUGCUCAGACCAGGUGAGAGAAAUGACACGGUUCGGUUUGUUUUUUACUCUUUUUAGGACACAAGAAGUUGGGAAUCCAACGUGUCAAUAUGUAUGUCUUCCAGAGAGCCAAUGUGCACAUGGUGAUGUGUCUUAGUCUAGGUUCUGUUGCCAUAACAAAAAUACCUGAAGCUGAGUAUUUUGUAAGAAAUGGACAUUUCCUGUCCUCAUGGUUGUGGAGAUGGGAAAUCUAAGAAUAGGACCUCAGUGUCUGCUGAGCCGUUGGUGGGGGUCUUCUUGCUUAAUCAUAAUGUGGAAGAGGCCAGCACAGAGAGACAGAGGAAGCUUCUUGGAGACACCUGGCUUUUAUAGCAGAGUCACUCCCCACAAAACCUAUGAAUCCAUGAGUGGACUGAUCAGUGCCUGUGCAUGAGGGCAGAGUUCUCAUGAGCCAGUGACCUCCCAGAAAUACUUCAGUUCCCGUUCACACAUAAUUUUGGGAUUAACUUUCCGACAAUGGGUUUCCAGGGCACAACCAUUGAAACCAUACUAUGAAGUGACUUUUAAAGUUGAAUGAAAAUCGCUAGCAUCAUCUACUUUUCUAAAGUGGCCUUAAAAAACGAGUCUGUCACAAGGAGAGAGAGAGGAAGCUUCUUCGAGACACCUGACUGGUGUCCUCCAGCCUGGAUGUUGGUUUAUUUUCAAGUUUCCCCUUUAGAUUUCAGGCAGAGAAUGUUGAGGUAGGGGACUUGGUGUUGUGGUAUUCAUGUAUUUUAUGUCCUCUAGGCUGUGGUGAAUGCAGACAUGGGAAGAAGUGGUCACGUGGAAAGUGAGUUCAAAAAGAGAGAGAGAACAUGAAAAUGGGGACAUCUUCUAUCAUUGGAAGCAGAAGGCACGAGGGAAAAGAUAGUCGUCCACCUCCCCUUGAGGGCUCACAUCCAGCAGUCGAUGGGGCGCCCCAGGAUCCACAAGCAGCUUAUAGUAGGUGGCGGCAGCAACAACACAGGAAACAGACGCCCUGGCUCAGGUUCCUGUUCUCCCAAAAGAGCUGCCCCUGGCCAUGGCUUCUGGGAAUUCAGCGCCUCCUCGCGCUGGGCACCUAGGCCCAGGGAGACCUCCCUGGAUUGCCCCUUAGUGGGUCCCUCCGCUCCAGUCCAAGCAGCUCCUAUGGAGGCCCCGCCCCACGACUUCCUCUGACACCAGCUCCUGCCCACUGCUAGUCCCCUCAGGUCCCUGGCUCUCCGGGUUCUUUGCUGAGAGCGCGCCAGAGCCCAGGUCUCCCUCAGGACCCUGGGAGAAGGCCAGGAGGCCCAGAGGGCAGCCCAAGCCGCUUGGAACUCGCUCCUUGAAACACAGAUCCUCCCCCACAGCGAGGCCUCCUGGGAAGGAGGCUUGAGUGGCGCAGGGCGUCUUGAAACUGGUUCCGCACGGUGGCGGUAGAGCUCCAGCUAUGGCCAGCAGCCCUGGGCCUGAGCGCGCCUCUCCCGCCCUGGCUGUCUGAAAAAACGCCACCCAGACAAAGGCACCAGGCAACAUGGCCGCCCUGUCCUUUGCCCAGUUCUGAGGAAGCAGCUCCCGAUGCUGCUUUUGCUUUUUCAGUAUUUGUGGCGUUUGGUUCACGAUGUUUGCCUCUGUCGUGAUUCUGCCCGAGACAGGCUUUGCCGUGUUGCCCAGGACCAGCUGGAAAUCGUGGUGCCAGUGCAGCAGCUUCCAGCUCCUCUCUCCUGUUGUUUUCCAUCUGAACUCUGACCAAGGCCUGAGUGCCAUCCUCCCCUGGGCCUCCCCUCUCUCUGGUGGAACGUUCAGGGAGGCCCUGCUCAUUCAGUCUGUUCUGAGUUGAACUGCACCCAGUCUUCCUCCCUCUGUAGUUUGUGAGUGCUCAGACCAGGUGAGAGAAAUGACACGGUUCGGUUUGUUUUUUACUCUUUUUAGGACACAAGAAGUUGGGAAUCCAACGUGUCAAUAUGUAUGUCUUCCAGAGAGCCAAUGUGCACAUGGUGAUGUGUCUUAGUCUAGGUUCUGUUGCCAUAACAAAAAUACCUGAAGCUGAGUAUUUUGUAAGAAAUGGACAUUUCCUGUCCUCAUGGUUGUGGAGAUGGGAAAUCUAAGAAUAGGACCUCAGUGUCUGCUGAGCCGUUGGUGGGGGUCUUCUUGCUUAAUCAUAAUGUGGAAGAGGCCAGCACAGAGAGACAGAGGAAGCUUCUUGGAGACACCUGGCUUUUAUAGCAGAGUCACUCCCCACAAAACCUAUGAAUCCAUGAGUGGACUGAUCAGUGCCUGUGCAUGAGGGCAGAGUUCUCAUGAGCCAGUGACCUCCCAGAAAUACUUCAGUUCCCGUUCACACAUAAUUUUGGGAUUAACUUUCCGACAAUGGGUUUCCAGGGCACAACCAUUGAAACCAUACUAUGAAGUGACUUUUAAAGUUGAAUGAAAAUCGCUAGCAUCAUCUACUUUUCUAAAGUGGCCUUAAAAAACGAGUCUGUCACAAGGAGAGAGAGAGGAAGCUUCUUCGAGACACCUGACUGGUGUCCUCCAGCCUGGAUGUUGGUUUAUUUUCAAGUUUCCCCUUUAGAUUUCAGGCAGAGAAUGUUGAGGUAGGGGACUUGGUGUUGUGGUAUUCAUGUAUUUUAUGUCCUCUAGGCUGUGGUGAAUGCAGACAUGGGAAGAAGUGGUCACGUGGAAAGUGAGUUCAAAAAGAGAGAGAGAACAUGAAAAUGGGAGUCGGUAACACUGAGCUGCACUCCAAUGGGCCAGAUCCUGUGGAAAUGAAGUUCCACCCGCACAGGUGUCCUCAGGAAGGAGGAGUAGAUUCAGGCUUCUGAUGAAACCUGAAAGCAGUCCUGUGCUGGAGACCAAGGACAUCUUCUAUCAUUGGAAGCAGAAGGCACGAGGGAAAAGAUAGUCGUCCACCUCCCCUUGAGGGCUCACAUCCAGCAGUCGAUGGGGCGCCCCAGGAUCCACAAGCAGCUUAUAGUAGGUGGCGGCAGCAACAACACAGGAAACAGACGCCCUGGCUCAGGUUCCUGUUCUCCCAAAAGAGCUGCCCCUGGCCAUGGCUUCUGGGAAUUCAGCGCCUCCUCGCGCUGGGCACCUAGGCCCAGGGAGACCUCCCUGGAUUGCCCCUUAGUGGGUCCCUCCGCUCCAGUCCAAGCAGCUCCUAUGGAGGCCCCGCCCCACGACUUCCUCUGACACCAGCUCCUGCCCACUGCUAGUCCCCUCAGGUCCCUGGCUCUCCGGGUUCUUUGCUGAGAGCGCGCCAGAGCCCAGGUCUCCCUCAGGACCCUGGGAGAAGGCCAGGAGGCCCAGAGGGCAGCCCAAGCCGCUUGGAACUCGCUCCUUGAAACACAGAUCCUCCCCCACAGCGAGGCCUCCUGGGAAGGAGGCUUGAGUGGCGCAGGGCGUCUUGAAACUGGUUCCGCACGGUGGCGGUAGAGCUCCAGCUAUGGCCAGCAGCCCUGGGCCUGAGCGCGCCUCUCCCGCCCUGGCUGUCUGAAAAAACGCCACCCAGACAAAGGCACCAGGCAACAUGGCCGCCCUGUCCUUUGCCCAGUUCUGAGGAAGCAGCUCCCGAUGCUGCUUUUGCUUUUUCAGUAUUUGUGGCGUUUGGUUCACGAUGUUUGCCUCUGUCGUGAUUCUGCCCGAGACAGGCUUUGCCGUGUUGCCCAGGACCAGCUGGAAAUCGUGGUGCCAGUGCAGCAGCUUCCAGCUCCUCUCUCCUGUUGUUUUCCAUCUGAACUCUGACCAAGGCCUGAGUGCCAUCCUCCCCUGGGCCUCCCCUCUCUCUGGUGGAACGUUCAGGGAGGCCCUGCUCAUUCAGUCUGUUCUGAGUUGAACUGCACCCAGUCUUCCUCCCUCUGUAGUUUGUGAGUGCUCAGACCAGGUGAGAGAAAUGACACGGUUCGGUUUGUUUUUUACUCUUUUUAGGACACAAGAAGUUGGGAAUCCAACGUGUCAAUAUGUAUGUCUUCCAGAGAGCCAAUGUGCACAUGGUGAUGUGUCUUAGUCUAGGUUCUGUUGCCAUAACAAAAAUACCUGAAGCUGAGUAUUUUGUAAGAAAUGGACAUUUCCUGUCCUCAUGGUUGUGGAGAUGGGAAAUCUAAGAAUAGGACCUCAGUGUCUGCUGAGCCGUUGGUGGGGGUCUUCUUGCUUAAUCAUAAUGUGGAAGAGGCCAGCACAGAGAGACAGAGGAAGCUUCUUGGAGACACCUGGCUUUUAUAGCAGAGUCACUCCCCACAAAACCUAUGAAUCCAUGAGUGGACUGAUCAGUGCCUGUGCAUGAGGGCAGAGUUCUCAUGAGCCAGUGACCUCCCAGAAAUACUUCAGUUCCCGUUCACACAUAAUUUUGGGAUUAACUUUCCGACAAUGGGUUUCCAGGGCACAACCAUUGAAACCAUACUAUGAAGUGACUUUUAAAGUUGAAUGAAAAUCGCUAGCAUCAUCUACUUUUCUAAAGUGGCCUUAAAAAACGAGUCUGUCACAAGGAGAGAGAGAGGAAGCUUCUUCGAGACACCUGACUGGUGUCCUCCAGCCUGGAUGUUGGUUUAUUUUCAAGUUUCCCCUUUAGAUUUCAGGCAGAGAAUGUUGAGGUAGGGGACUUGGUGUUGUGGUAUUCAUGUAUUUUAUGUCCUCUAGGCUGUGGUGAAUGCAGACAUGGGAAGAAGUGGUCACGUGGAAAGUGAGUUCAAAAAGAGAGAGAGAACAUGAAAAUGGGGACAUCUUCUAUCAUUGGAAGCAGAAGGCACGAGGGAAAAGAUAGUCGUCCACCUCCCCUUGAGGGCUCACAUCCAGCAGUCGAUGGGGCGCCCCAGGAUCCACAAGCAGCUUAUAGUAGGUGACAGAAACCUGUUCUUCUGGGCUCAGUAAUUGCAAGGAAGGGCACUUCUCAGUAGCUGGUGAGUCACAGAAAGCCUCACAGCCCUGCAGGUGAGUAACAGAGGGCGCUCCCAGGUCAGCUGCUCAGUGGGGCCUGGGCCCCCAUAGCUGAAUACACUGGAAAUGCCCUAUUAUGGGGUUCGGAGAGCAACAGGCUGCCCUUCUAAGAGGGACUUUGGCCCGCAGGGACCUUAGGACCUUCCAGUGCCCGCAGGUAGCCCAGUACACCUGUCCAAGGGCUGUGGCCUGUCCUGCCAGUGCCUAGCCAUUGGGCACU